AACGCACAUUGCACUUCCUGGUAUUCCGGGAAGUAUGCCUGUUUCAGUAUCAUGAACACACCUCAGGCCAAAAAGGGGGGCGAGGGCACUCGUCCUUUUUUUUCGAACCCUGGAUCUAGGCUGAGCAUCACCUCUGGUCAGUUGUUGCCCAGCCUGAAAUUCAUCCCGACCGCGGGUUUUCUCUUUCUUAGGAAGAGGAAGGGGGAGAAUAAGGCGUCGAUAGUUCGACCACUGAGUUGAUCUUUUCGCCGAAGAACUCCCUCCUUGAUCUGCGGGGUCGGAUCCAUUAGCAGGACACUCUGUUCUUCUCAACCUUGAUCUGAAAUCAGGUAGGAGUACCCGCUGAACUUAA
rnacentral:misc_RNA from 1 species